CCUACGGGUGGCAGCAGUGGGGGAUAUUGCACAAUGGGGGAAACCCUGAUGCAGCGACGCCGCGUGAGUGAAGAAGUAUUUCGGUAUGUAAAGCUCUAUCAGCAGGGAAGAAAAUGAUAGUACCUGAUCAAGAAGCCCCGGCUAAUUACGUGCCAGCAGCCGCGGCAAUACGUAGGGGGCAAGCGUGAUUCGGAUUUACUGGGGGUAAAGGGGGCGUAGACGGUUAUGUAAGUCUGGAGUGAAAGCCGGGGGCCCAACCCCGGGACUGCUUUGGAAACUGUGUAACUGGAGUACAGGAGGGGCAGGCGGAAUUCCUGGUGUAGCGGUGAAAUGCGUAGAUAUCAGGAGGAACACCAGCGGCGAAGGCGGCCUGCUGGACUGAAACUGACGUUGAGGCUCGAAAGCGUGGGGAGCAAACAGGAUUAGAUACCCGAGUAGUC
rnacentral:rRNA from 1 species